CCUACGGGAGGCAGCAGUGGGAAUCUUAGACAAUGGGCGCAAGCCUGAUCUAGCCAUGCCGCGUGAGUGAAGAAGGCCUUAGGGUCGUAAAGCUCUUUCGCCAGGGAUGAUAAUGACAGUACCUGGUAAAGAAACCCCGGCUAACUCCGUGCCAGCAGCCGCGGUAAUACGGAGGGGGUUAGCGUUGUUCGGAAUUACUGGGCGUAAAGCGCACGUAGGCGGAUUAGAAAGUUAGAGGUGAAAUCCCAGGGCUCAACCCUGGAACUGCCUUUAAAACUCCUAGUCUUGAGUUCGAGAGAGGUGAGUGGAAUUCCAAGUGUAGAGGUGAAAUUCGUAGAUAUUUGGAGGAACACCAGUGGCGAAGGCGGCUCACUGGCUCGAUACUGACGCUGAGGUGCGAAAGUGUGGGGAGCAAACAGGAUUAGAUACCCUGGUAGUCCACACCGUAAACGAUGAAUGCCAGUCGUCGGGUAGUAUACUAUUCGGUGACACACCUAACGGAUUAAGCAUUCCGCCUGGGGAGUACGAUGGCAAG
rnacentral:rRNA from 1 species